rnacentral:rRNA from 1 species
AACCUGCCCUGAAGCGGGGGAUAACAUCUGGAAACAGGUGCUAAUACCGCAUAACAACGAAAACCACAUGGUUUCGUUUCAAAGAUGGUUUCGGCUAUCACUCAGGAUGGGCCCGCGGUGCAUUAGCUAGUUGGUAGGGUAAAGGCUUACCAAGGCGAUGAUGCAUAGCCGAGUUGAGAGACUGAUCGGCCACAUUGGGACUGAGACACGGCCCAAACUCCUACGGGAGGCAGCAGUA